UAGGGAAUCUUCCACAAUGGACGAAAGUCUGAUGGAGCAACGCCGCGUGAGUGAAGAAGGGUUUCGGCUCGUAAAACUCUGUUGUUAAAGAAGAACAUAUCUGAGAGUAACUGUUCAGGUAUUGACGGUAUUUAACCAGAAAGCCACGGUCUAACUACGUGCCA
rnacentral:rRNA from 1 species